GCCUGGGUGGCUCAGUCGGUUGAGCAUCUGACUUCGGCUCAGGUCAUGAUCUCACAGUUCAUGGGUUCGAGCCCCUUGUAGGGCU
rnacentral:tRNA from 1 species